GACGAACGCUGGCGGCGUGCUUAACACAUGCAAGUCGAGCGGUAAGGCCCUUUCGGGGGUACACGAGCGGCGAACGGGUGAGUAACACGUGGGUGACCUGCCCUCAGCUCUGGGAUAAGCCUGGGAAACCGGGUCUAAUACUGGAUAUGACUCCAUGACGCAUGUUGUGGGGUGGAAAGCCUUGUGCGGCUGAGGAUGGGCCCGCGGCCUAUCAGCUUGUUGGUGGGGUGANGGCCUACCAAGGCGACGACGGGUAGCCGGCCUGAGAGGGCGACCGGCCACACUGGGACUGAGACACGGCCCAGACUCCUACGGGAGGCAGCAGUGGGGAAUCUUGCGCAAUGGGCGAAAGCCUGACGCAGCGACGCCGCGUGAGGGAUGGCGGCCUCGGUUGUAAC
rnacentral:rRNA from 1 species